rnacentral:rRNA from 1 species
AAUGAACGCUAGCUACAGGCUUAACACAUGCAAGUCGAGGGGUAACAAGAGGAAAGCUUGCUUUUCUUGUUGACGACCGGCGCACGGGUGAGUAACGCGUAUCCAACCUGCCUAUAACUAGGGAAUAACCUUGCGAAAGUAAGACUAAUACCCUAUGAUUUCCUUUGAUGACAUCAGAUUAGGAAUAAAGAUUUAUCGGUUAUAGAUGGGGAUGCGUCUGAUUAGCUUGUUGGCGGGGUAACGGCCCACCAAGGCAACGAUCAGCAGGGGUUCUGAGAGGAAGGUCCCCCACAUUGGAACUGAGACACGGUCCAAACUCCUACGGGAGGCAGCAGUGAGGAAUAUUGGUCAAUGGGCGGAAGCCUGAACCAGCCAAGUAGCGUGCAGGAUGACGGCCCUAUGGGUUGUAAACUGCUUUUAUACAGGAAUAAAGUUAGCCACGUGUGGUUAUUUGUAGGUACUGUAUGAGUAAGGACCGGCUAAUUCCGUGCCAGCCGCCGCUGUAAAAC